rnacentral:rRNA from 1 species
UACGUAGGGUGCGAGCGUUGUCCGGAAUUACUGGGCGUAAAGCGCACGCAGGUGGCUGAGUCAGUCGAUUGUGAAAGCCCUGGGCUUAACCUGGGAAUUGCAGUCGAUACUACUCAGCUAGAGUAUGGGAGAGGGUAGUGGAAUUCCCGGUGUAGCGGUGAAAUGCGUAGAUAUCGGGAGGAACAUCAGUGGCGAAGGCGGCUACCUGGCCCAAUACUGACACUCAGGUGCGACAGCGUGGGGAGCAAACAGG